UCUGGUGUCAGCCGCCGCGGUAAAACCAGCACCUCAAGUGGUCAGGAUGAUUAUUGGGCCUAAAGCAUCCGUAGCCUGCUUUGUUAGUUUUCGGUUAAAUCCAUACGCUCAACGUAUGGGCUGCCGGGAAUACUGCAAAGCUAGGGAGUGGGAGAGGUAGACGGUACUCGGUAGGAAGGGGUAAAAUCCUUUGAUCUAUUGAUGACCACCUGUGGCGAAGGCGGUCUACCAGAACACGUCCGACGGUGAGGGAUGAAAGCUGGGGGAGCAAACCGGAUUAGAUACCCGGGUAGUCCCAGCUGUAAACUAUGCAAACUCGGUGAUGCAUUGGCUUGAUGCCAAUGCAGUGCCGCAGGGAAGCCGUUAAGUUUGCCGCCUGGGAAGUACGUACGCAAGUAUGAAACCUAAAGGAAUUGGCGGGGGAGCACCACAAGGGGUGAAGCCUGCGGUUCAAUUGGAGUCAACGCCAGAAAUCUUACCCGGAGAGACAGCAGAAUGAAGGUCAAGCUGAAGACUUUACCAGACAAGCU
rnacentral:rRNA from 2 species